rnacentral:rRNA from 1 species
AUGUGGAUUAAUUCGAAGCAACGCGCUAGAACCUUACUGGGUUUGACAUGCUUGGAUGGUUGCCUGGAAACAGGUUAAUCUGCCCUUCGGGGUGAAACUUUGGCACAGGUGCUGCAUGGCUGUCGUCAGCUCGUGUCGUGAGAUGUCGGGUUAAGUCCUCUAACGAGCGAAACCCUUACCGUUAGUUACCAGCGGGUCAUGCCGGGAACUCUAGCGGGACUGCCGGUGUUAAACCGGAGGAAGGUGGGGAUGACGUCAAGUCAUCAUGGCCUUUAUGCCCAGGGCAUCACACGUGCUACAAUGGUCGGUACAAAGCGACGCGAGACCGCGAGGUAGAGCCAAUCGCAAAAACCGGCCCCAGUUCGGAUUGCAGGCUGGCAACUCGCCUGCAUGAAGUUGGAAUCGCUAGUAAUCGUGAAUCAGCUAUGUCACGGUGAAUGUCGUUCCUGAGCCUU